rnacentral:rRNA from 1 species
CCUACGGGAGGCAGCAGUGAGGAAUAUUGGUCAAUGGCCGGAAGGCUGAACCAGCCAUGUAGCGUGAAGGUCAGUGCCCUAUGGGCGUUAAACUUUUUUUGUGCGGGAGCAAUAAUGGUCACGUGUGGCCAGACGAGAGUACCGUACGAAUAAGCAUCGGCUUACUCCGUGCCAGCCGCCGGGGUAAUACGGGGGAUGCAAGCGUUAUCCGGAUUUUAUGGGUUUAAAGGGUGCGUAGGCUGUGAGGUAAGUCAUCGGUGAAAUGCCCGCGCUCAACGGGGUGAAGUGCCAUUGAUACUGCCUUGCUGGAAUGCGGAUGCCGUGGGAGGAAUGUGUGGUGUAGCGGUGAAAUGCAUAGAUAGCACACAGAACACCGAUUGCGAAGGCAUCUCACGAAUCCGCGAUUGACGCUGAUGCACGAAAGCGUGGGUAUCAAACAGGAUUAGAUACCCUAGUAGUC